UACGUAGGGACCGAGCGUUGUCCGGAAUCAUUGGGCGUAAAGAGCGUGUAGGCGGCCACUUAAGUCCUGCGUGAAAUCCUGCGGCUCAACCGCAGGCGGUCGUGGGAAACUGGGUGGCUAGAGUGCGGGAGAGGAGAGUGGAAUUCCUGGUGUAGCGGUGGAAUGCGCAGAUAUCAGGAGGAACACCGGUGGCGAAGGCGACGUCCUGGACCGGCAUGACGCUGAGGCGCGAAAGCCAGGGGAGCAAACGGGAUA
rnacentral:rRNA from 1 species